CAAAUUUGUGGAGAAUGUUUUUUUCGAACAUUGGUAGACUAAUAUUUUAUAUGGAGAGGAGAAAGCGAGUGCAAUUAUAUGCUUUAUAUUAUUGCCAUUAGUUCAAUGCAGCUAUAUGGAGAGGAGCAGGUGACUGCAAUUGCAAGCAAGAAGCUCACCUGAGAAGGCAGUUAGUUCAUCACAAUGUCAGUAGAAAGUAGAAGCUGACCAGAAGAAAGAAGGUGAUGAUGAAAUCUACCUGCGAUCAAUAGCCCCAUGAGACCAACAUCCUUGAGAGGAACACUCUGCACUCUCUCGCUUCAAAGCUAACAACAAAUCUCUAAGGUAAUUUCUGAACUAAUCUCCUAAUCAUAUAUCUUUCUUUUUGUUUGGUCAAAAUCUCCUAAUAAUAUAUCUAUAUACUAACUUAAAGAGUGGAAACAAAAAAUAAACUGGACUAGGGUUUGGUCAAUGCAUUAAAAACAGAUGCAAGAAGUACAUCAGAUAUGAAUCAUGCAAGCAGGACAAGAGUCAGGGGAAGUAUCACUAAGGCAGAUCCAUGAUGAUGAUAGAUUUUGAUAAAAGGUUAGUGGAUUUACUUAGUUACGUAACAGCAGAUUUUGGUUGUAGUAGUUAUGUAACUUUCACAUUUACUCUCUUCAUAUUUAAAUGCCUCUUUCGCUGCAUUCAUCAUCCAUUUAAGUUAGCCUUCAGGCACUUAAAUCGCAGAGACACAGCUAGGCUUUGCGGUCUCAGUAGCGAUUGCGGUUUGCAUUUUGUGCUCUCCACAGGCCACUCUCCCUUCACUACUUCUCUUUGAUAAAUUCCAUUACAUUUACGUAGAAAGCCGCAUUGGUUCUCAAUGUCUCAUGGAUCCCAUUACACCUUGCACUUGAAAAGGAACAAAACAACUUCAAGAAAUAAGGAAGAAGAGCAGAAGUUGUGUCAUGCUGUUUUGGCUGCUAAUCAUUUCAUGUGUAUGGGUGCGAGCAAGGAGUUGAAAAAAACCAAAAUCUUCUACAACUUCAACUGGUGAUCUUGGAAUUGGGCUUGAACAGCUUCAUCUAAUGUCAAAAGUUAAGAACAUUGCUUCUCUGCAGCUAUAUGGAGAGGAGCAAGCGAGUCUAAUUUCAAGCAAACAACUUCACCAUAGAACGCAGUUCAUCACAAUGCCAGUACGAAUAAGAAGUCAGAUCAGAAAAUUAUGUCCUUUUCGGGUCUAAGCUCUGUCUCUUCUUCAAUAAGAAGAUCAAAGAAAACGACGGCCAUUGCACAAGUCGUUUAUCUCCAUCGUUUGGACUUGACAUAGCACUUCAUAGAAAGGGAAUAGAAUUUUCAUAAAUCAUUAUUGUUUUUUUUAUGUUGCAUUAGUUUUCAGUUAGGUCAAUUUCUCAAAUGAAAAAUAAGUUUUUGAAAUUAUGAUACAUAUAAAUGUACGUUUUAAACUUUGUCAAAAUAUCAUGACAA